rnacentral:tRNA from 3 species
GCGGAAGUGGUGGAAUGGCAGACACGCAAGUCUUAGGAACUUGUGCCUCCCAAGGCGUGCGGGUUCGACUCCCGCCUUCCGCACCA